CAUGGGGUGAAAGCAUCCGAGGUAAUUGGAAAAACGGGGCUGGAAAGUUCAGGAAAGAGCCUGGGCUCAUUCAUGGGGAGCUUCAUCUGUUUAUAAGUGGUCACUGACAAGACCCAAAUUCAACUUCCAUGAAGUGACUGAAAAUAUUGGGGGUGGACAAAGAAAGGUGACAGGCAUGGCAAGAAAGACAUCUAAAGAAGUAUUCUUUGGGGCACCUAGUUGGCUCAGACUAUAAGGUGAGUAUACACAACUCUUGACCUCAAGGUUGUAAGUUCGAGCCCCAUGCAGAGAUCACUCAAAAAUAAAAUCUUAAAAGAAAAAAAAAGGGGGGGGGUGGUAUUCUUGAACACAGGAAUUCCAACAGAUCUCCAGGAAUCUUCCUAAGUCCACUUUCUAAAUUUUAGCCAGAAGCCAAACUUCCUUCCUGAAAAGGUGGGCAUCAAGUGUAGAAGAUAAACUUUAAUCCAAGAACAUACAGUACAUUUGUCAUGAGGACGUGCAGCAGAGAUGAAAAGGCUGACAAGGCAGAGUUAGACUACUAGAAUGUAUCAGUGUCCCUCUAUCUCCAGUGCUGAUCAAGGGAAAGGAUGCGUUCACUGAUUCCAUGGAAGUUUCCCAGUCUUGCCGGCAGAUAAACCCCUGAAAAGCAGAAUGCCCUACAAGGCAACAUUCAUUCAGAAUCGGAUAAAGAAAGCAUGGCACAAUUGUGACUUCAAAAAAGGAGUGGCUGCAGGGCGCAUGGAUGGCUCAGUUGGCUAAACGUCUGACUUCGGUUCAGGUCAUGAUCUCAUGGUCCAGAGUUCGAGCCCCACAUGGAGUUCUUUGCUGACCGCUCAGAGCCUGGAGCCUGCUUCAGAUUCUG